UACGAACUGUCCUAACGUUGUUCGGAAUCACUGGGCUUAAAGGGCGCGUAGGCGGUCCGUCAAGUCAGGGGUGAAAUCCUGCAGCUUAACUGUAGAAGUGCCUCUGAUACUGAUGGUCUGGAGGGAAAUAGGGGUGUGCGGAACUUCCAGUGGAGCGGUGAAAUGCGUUGAUAUUGGAAGGAACGCCGGAGGCGAAAGCGGCGCACUGGAUUUCUUCUGACGCUGAGGCGCGAAAGCCAGGGGAGCAAACGGG
rnacentral:rRNA from 1 species